rnacentral:lncRNA from 1 species
GUUAUAGGCCCUAAAAUCCCCGAACUUGGAGCAGAGACUCCCGAGUCCCCAAAUCAAUUGCAAAGAAGAAGAAGAAGAAAGCCAGAGCAUAUAAUAAGCUUCGCGAACACUCUCUUCCGAAUCCCUAAACGACGUCGCACCGCACCAUGGAUCGGCAGGCCCACGACUACGCCGCCUACGCCCAACAACAACAGCAGCAGCAGCAGCAGCGACAACCGCCGCAGCCACAACAACCGCCGCCGCAGCAACAAUUCGGGUACCCGCCCCAGGCCCAACAGUUUCACGGCCCUCCUUUCGGACCCCCACACCCGCCCCUCCAGCAAUUCCCCUACCACCCCCACUUACAGCAGCAACCGCCGCCCCAGGUUCUCUCCCACGCGCCGCCGCCUCACCCUCACCACCUCCCCCUCCGCCGGCCUUCGCCCCCCACCUCCCCCUCCCCUCGUCCCCCCGCCUUUCCACGCCGGCCCUCCUCCUCCGGCCGCCGGUCCUCCCUCCGACCCGGAGCUCCACAAACGGAUCGACAAGCUCGUCGAGUACUCCGCCAAGAACGGCCCCGACUUCGA